GUGGGGAAUUUUGGACAAUGGGCGAAAGCCUGAUCCAGCAAUGCCGCGUGCAGGAUGAAGGCCCUCGGGUUGUAAACUGCUUUUGUACGGAACGAAAAGCCUGGGGCUAAUAUCCCCGGGUCAUGACGGUACCGUAAGAAUAAGCACCGGCUAACUACGUGCCAGCAGCCGCGGUAAUACGUAGGGUGCAAGCGUUAAUCGGAAUUACUGGGCGUAAAGCGUGCGCAGGCGGUUUUGUAAGACAGUGGUGAAAUCCCCGGGCUCAACCUGGGAACUGCCAUUGUGACUGCAAGGCUAGAGUGCGGCAGAGGGGGAUGGAAAUCCGCGUGUAGCAGUGAAAUGCGUAGAUAUGCGGAGGAACACCGAUGGCGAAGGCAAUCCCCUGGGCCUGCACUGACGCUCAUGCACGAAAGCGUGGGGAGCAAACAGGAUUAGAUACCCGGGUAGUCC
rnacentral:rRNA from 1 species